GAUGAACGCUAGCGGCAAGCUUAAUACAUGCAAGUCGAGGGGCGGCAUGACUGUAGCAAUACAGUUGAUGGCGACCGGCAAACGGGUGCGGAACACGUACAGAACCUUCCUUCGAGCGGGGAAUAGCCCAGAGAAAUUUGGAUUAAUACCCCAUAGUAUUACGGAGUGGCAUCACUUUGUAAUUAAAGAUUUAUCACUUGAAGAUGGCUGUGCGGCUGAUUAGAUAGUUGGCAGGGUAACGGCCUAACAAGUCUACGAUCAGUAACUGGUGUGAGAACACGACCAGUCACACGGGCACUGAGACACGGGCCCGACUCCUACGGGAGGCAGCAGUAAGGAAUAUUGGUCAAUGGACGAAAGUCUGAACCAGCUAUGCCGCGUGGAGGAUGAAGGCCCUCUGGGUUGUAAACUUCUUUUAUAUGGGACGAAAAAGGGCCUUUCUAGGUCAACUGACGGUACCAUGUGAAUAAGCACCGGCUAACUCCGUGCCAGCCGCCGCGGUAAAAC
rnacentral:rRNA from 1 species